rnacentral:rRNA from 1 species
CAUGCAAGGAAGCACACGCCGCGUGAGGGAGGAGGUCUUUGGAUUGUAAACCUCUUUUCUCAAGGAAGAAGUUCUGACGGUACUUGAGGAAUCAGCCUCGGCUAACUCCGUGCCAGCAGCCGCGGUAAUACGGGGGAGGCAAGCGUUAUCCGGAAUUAUUGGGCGUAAAGCGUCCGCAGGUGGUCAGCCAAGUCUGCCGUCAAAUCAGGUUGCUUAACGACCUAAAGGCGGUGGAAACUGGCAGACUAGAGAGCAGUAGGGGUAGCAGGAAUUCCCAGUGUAGCGGUGAAAUGCGUAGAGAUUGGGAAGAACAUCGGUGGCGAAAGCGUGCUACUGGGCUGUAUCUGACACUCAGGGACGAAAGCUAGGGGAGCGAAUGGGAUUAGAUACCCCUGUAGUCAA